rnacentral:rRNA from 1 species
UACGUAGGUGGCGAGCGUUGUCCGGAUUUACUGGGCGUAAAGAGCGCGCAGGCGGUCGUACAAGUCGCGUGUGAAAGCCCCUGGCUCAACUGGGGAGGGUCACGCGAUACUGAUCGACUGGAAGGCAGGAGAGGGUAGUGGAAUUCCCGGUGUAGUGGUGAAAUGCGUAGAUAUCGGGAGGAACACCAGUGGCGAAGGCGACUACCUGGCCUGUUCUUGACGCUGAGGCGCGAAAGCUAGGGGAGCAAACGGG